UGCUUUGUGCAGUGGCAGUAUCAUAGCCAAUGAAGUUUAUCCAAGGCGCGAUUAUUGCUAAUUGAAAAUUUUCUGGCAAUAUUCUGAAGCUGCUGGGAGUCAGCGUGAGAAAUGGCCCUUCUCCCGAGG
rnacentral:snRNA from 1 species